AGGCUGCUCACACAGCCAAGGAGGGCAUCUUUGCAGGGUUCUGAGAUGGAGGCCGUAUUUCUUAGAGCAAAUCCCCUUGCUCUGUCUCUUUCAGAAGGCAUGACCUUGUUGAAUCCAGCCAUUCUGCAAGUGCCUCCGUUUUGACUUUAGGAAUGGAAGUCCUUCCAGGCAUGCCAGGAGGGAAGGUAGAGGAAAAUGUGAUUUGGAGACAUCGACACGCAUGGAGUGUGACAAUGGAGGCAGGGAUUGGAACAAUGCAGCUGCCAGCUGAGGAGUAUCAAGGGUUGAUCAUCACCAUCGGAAGCUAGAGGAGGUAAGGGGGGCUGUAUCUGGAGUCUCAGAGGGACAGCAGUCCUUGAUUUUGGACUUCUUGGCCUCCAGAAAGGUGAGACAAUACAUUAGCAUUGUUUUAAGCCUCCUGGUUUGUGUUACUUUGUUGUGGCAGCCCAAGGGACUCUGAAUCUGAUAUUCUGUCAGGUACACAGCAGAAUUUUCGCCUCUCCUGAUCACAUCACACCGAUUCCAGGACGAAGCAGGCUGUCACAGGCAGGGGUCAAGCCAGGCUUCAGAAGAUGGGCCGGGCUGGCCUUGGCGAUCCUCCAGCCUGGGCUAAUGCAGUCUCCUAUGGAGGAAUGGCAUCCAGGCCUUUACCCCUCCAGUUGGCACCAAUAAUCUUCAUUUUCCCUCCAAAUGGAAGGGUUUCCCGCAGCUGGCCAGCCCGCCGUGGUGCAGACUGUGUUUCUCUUCUGUGAGUGCCACAUGAGAGACACUCAAUAGAUGCCGACAGGCAAGUUGGAAGGUACAAGGGAGUCCUGGGGUUAUGUUUUUGGAGGCAUUUUAAAGGGUAGAUGGCUUCCUUUCUGCUCUGUGCCUGUCCCCGGCUCAGCCCUCCACAGGGGGCCCCAGGCCUGUCCCCUUUCCUCCUCCCUUCCUCCCUGCAGCUUGUGUUCAGGGCUCCCUCCACGAGCGCCUCACCCCCUUUGCACCCAGGUCCAGCUCCUACCGUGCUUCUCUCCUGGAGGGUUCUGUCCACGGAGUGGCCCACCACCUUGCUCCCCACGUCCACCAGCCCUGCCUGCCCACCCAGCCUUCCUCAGUCCCAGUCUGCCUGGAUUUCCCUGCAGAGCCAAAAGCCAGAACACGUCGAGGCCACUCCUAUUGCCCAACACACACCGUUGUCCCCAGCUCCACCCCAGAACAACCCAAAUUCCUCAGAUUGCUGUGAAGAGAGUCAGCCUGUGCUCACAGGCAGUUGGGCAAUGUGGAGCCUCCCAGGGUCCCUGCCCCUGCACCCGGCAACAGCCAAGCGGCCUGAGCAUCCGGGCUCAGAUCGGAAGGCGUUUCAGGGAGGAUGACUCUUUCCUUUUGGGGUGUAGUGGGAAAAUGGUGGUGGUGGGCAAAGGUCGCUCCACAUUGCCCAUCCUUCGGGGGAUUUCAGUUUGAGCUCAUGAUGUCUGGUUGCUGUUUUGUUUAGGGUGUGGGAGUCAAAGGCUGGAGGGUGGCGUUCGCAGGAUGGUGCGAACCUUUCACCUCUGAGUUGAAGGGAAGAGGGAAGCAGCUGCCCUCGCAGCAGGAAGCAGAGUCCAGCCUCGAGCUGACACCUCCGGCUGGCUGGGGAGGGUGUCACCAGGCAGUCGCUAUGUCUUUGAUGUUGGGGCUGCCUUUUCUCCUCUCCCUGUCCACCAGACAGCUGGGUGGGCUGAGAAGGAGGCGCCCAGCACACACGUCCGUUUCCUGGAAAGGCGUGGCCACAAAGGUCACUCCAUGGACUCUAAGCAAGGGGCCGUGGGGGCUCCUGAGCCCUUCUGGAUGGAGACCUGGGAUUUGGCCCCACGUUGCAUCCCCAGACUUUGGUGGAUAUUCCCAACCGCUCUGAGUGAAUUCCAGGGAGGUGUCCCCUGAAGCAGGAGUCCCACCCCGAUGACAUGCUUGUCAAUUCACCACAAACCCAAGCACAGGUGACCCAGGAGAAGAGGGCUGCCGCGUGAAUGUCCUGCAUGCAUUUAAAGAGUUAAUAAGGGAGGACCAAGGAGCCUGAUUUAAAACAGAAUAGGAAAGUCUUUUAAAAUAUCUUUUUAAAGAAAAAUUAAAAUACCUUUAAAAA